UGAGUGACCUGCCGAUUUGUGGGGGAUAGCCGGGCCAACGCCCGGGUAAUACCGCAUACGCUCUUCUUGGGGCAUCUCUAGAAGAGGAAACCUCCGGGGCAAAUCGAGGGACUCGCGGCCUAUCAGCUAGUUGGCGAGGUAACGGCUCACCAAGGCUACGACGGGUAGCUGGUCUGAGAGGGUGACCGGCCACACUGGGACUGAGACACGGCCCAGACUCCUACGGGAGGCAG
rnacentral:rRNA from 1 species